rnacentral:tRNA from 1 species
GCACCCGUAGCUCAGCUGGAUAGAGCAACGGUUUCCUAAACCGUGUGCCGGAGGUUCGAAUCCUCUCGGGUGUACCA